AACGAACGCUGGCGGCAUGCCUAACACAUGCAAGUCGAACGAGACCUUCGGGUCUAGUGGCGCACGGGUGCGUAACGCGUGGGAACCUGCCCUUAGGUUCGGAAUAACUCCCCGAAAGGGGUGCUAAUACCGGAUAAUGUCUUCGGACCAAAGAUUUAUCGCCUUUGGAUGGGCUCGCGUUGGAUUAGCUAGUUGGUAGGGUAAAAGCCUGCCAAGGCGACGAUCCAUAGCUGGUCUGAGAGGAUGAUCAGCCACACUGGGACUGAGACACGGCCCAGACUCCUACGGGAGGCAGCAGUGGGGAAUAUUGGACAAUGGGCGAAAGCCUGAUCCAGCAAUGCCGCGUGAGUGAUGAAGGCCUUAGGGUUGUAAAGCUCUUUUACCCGGGAUGAUAAUGACAGUACCGGGAGAAUAAGCUCCGGCUAACUCCGUG
rnacentral:rRNA from 1 species